rnacentral:rRNA from 1 species
GACGAACGCUGGCGGCGUGCCUAAUACAUGCAAGUCGAGCGGACCAAAGGGAGCUUGCUCCUGGAGGUUAGCGGCGAACGGGUGAGUAACACGUGGGCAACCUGCCUGUAAGACUGGGAUAACAUCGAGAAAUCGGUGCUAAUACCGGAUAAUAAAAGAACUGCAUGGUUCUUUUUGAAGAUGGUUUCGGCUAUCACUUACAGAUGGGCCGCGGCGCAUUAGCUAGUUGGUGGGGUAACGGCUCACCAAGGCGACGAUGCGUAGCCGACCUGAGAGGUGAUCGGCCACACUGGGACUGAGACACGGCCCAGACUCCUACGGGAGGCAGCAGUAGGGAACCUUCCGCAAUGGACGAAAGUCUGACGGAGCAACGCCGCGUGAGUGAUGAAGGUUUUUCGGAUCGUAAAACUCUGUUGUUAGGGAAGAACAAGUGCCGUUCGAAAGGGCGGCACCUUGACGGUACCUAACGAGAAAGCCACGGCUAACUACGUGCCAGCAGCCGCGGUAAAGU